AUACAGAGGGUGCAGGCGUUAAUCGGAAUUACUGGGCGUAAAGCGUACGCAGGCGGUUUGUUAAGCAAGAUGUGAAAGCCCCGGGCUCAACCUGGGAACUGCAUUUUGAACUGGCAAACUAGAGUUUUGGAGAGGGGAGUGGAAUUCCAGGUGUAGCGGUGAAAUGCGUAGAGAUCUGGAGGAACAUCAGUGGCGAAGGCGACUCCCUGGCCAAUAACUGACGCUCAUGUACGAAAGUGUGGGUAGCGAACAGGAUUAGAAACCCCGGUAGUCC
rnacentral:rRNA from 1 species